rnacentral:rRNA from 1 species
GUAGGGYGCAAGCGUUGUCCGGAAUUAUUGGGCGUAAAGAGCUCGUAGGCGGUCUGUCGCGUCUGGUGUGAAAACUUGAGGCUCAACCUUAAGCCUGCAUCGGGUACGGGCAGACUAGAGUACUGUAGGGGAGACUGGAAUUCCUGGUGUAGCGGUGGAAUGCGCAGAUAUCAGGAGGAACACCGAUGGCGAAGGCAGGUCUCUGGGCAGUUACUGACGCUGAGGAGCGAAAGCAUGGGGAGCGAACAGGAUUAGAUACCCUGGUAGUCCAUGCCGUAAACGUUGGGCACUAGGUGUGGGGGCCAUUCCACGGUUCCCGUGCCGCAGCUAACGCAUUAAGUGCCCCGCCUGGGGAGUACGGCCGCAAGGCUA